rnacentral:rRNA from 1 species
UACAGGGGGUGCAAACGUUGCUCGGAAUCACUGGGCGUAAGCGCACGUAGGCGGAUUGCUAAGUCAGGGGGUGAAAUCCUGGAGCUCAACUCCAGAACUGCCUUUGAUACUGGUGAUCUUGAGUCCGGGAGAGGUGAGUGGAAACUGGCGAGUGUAGAGGUGAAAUUCGUAGAUAUUCGCAAGAACACCAGUAGGCGAAGGGCGGACUCAC